ensembl:snoRNA SNORA73 Small nucleolar RNA SNORA73 family
CCAACGCGGGUAUGCCAUGAGUCACUCUCAGCGGGCUCUGUCCGGGAGGCGUACUGGAGCACAGGGCUCUGGCCCGUGAUCAACAGCCCCUCUGCACAGUGUUGGAGGUGAAGCUGAGCCUUGCACCUGUGUAUUCCCACUUCUCAAGAGUCCUGUGGACAAUGCUAAGGAAGCAGACUACACAAGAAACAAUG